GACGAACGCUGGCGGCGUGCUUAACACAUGCAAGUCGAACGGUGAUGCUCCAGCUUGCUGGAGUGGAUCAGUGGCGAACGGGUGAGUAACACGUGAGCAACCUGCCCCAGACUCUGGAAUAAGCGCUGGAAACGGCGUCUAAUACUGGAUACGAAACUGGCCCGCAUGGGCAUGGUUUGGAAGGUUUUUCGGUUUGGGAUGGGCUCGCGGCCUAUCAGCUUGUUGGUGAGGUAAUGGCUCACCAAGGCGACGACGGGUAGCCGGCCUGAGAGGGCGACCGGCCACACUGGGACUGAGACACGGCCCAGACUCCUACGGGAGGCAGCAGUGGGGAAUAUUGCACAAUGGGCGAAAGCCUGAUGCAGCGACGCCGCGUGAGGGAUGACGGCCUUCGGGUUGUAAACCUCUUUCAGCAGGGAAGAAGCGAAAGUGACGGUACCUGCAGAAGAAGCACCGGCUAACUACGUG
rnacentral:rRNA from 1 species